AUUGAACGCUGGCGGCAGGCUUAACACAUGCAAGUCGAGCGGGGUGAUGGUGCUUGCACUAUCACUUAGCGGCGGACGGGUGAGUAGUGCUUAGGAAUCUGCCUAUUAGUGGGGGACAACAUCUCGAAAGGGAUGCUAAUACCGCAUACGUCCUACGGGAGAAAGCAGGGGAUCUUCGGACCUUGCGCUAAUAGAUGAUACUAAUUCGGAUUAGCUAGUUGGUGGGGUAAAGGCCUACCAAGGCGACGAUCUGUAGCGGGUCGGAGAGGAUGAGCCGCCACACUGGGACUGAGACACGGCCCAGACUCCUACGGGAGGCAGCAGUGGGGAAUAUUGGACAAUGGGGGGAACCCUGAUCCAGCCAUGCCGCGUGUGUGAAGAAGGCCUUACGGUUGUAAAGCACUUUAAGCGAGGAGGAGGCUACUUUAGUUAAUACCUAGAGAUAGUGGACGUUACUCGCAGAAUAAGCACCGGCUAACUCUGUGCCAGCAGCCGCGGUAA
rnacentral:rRNA from 1 species